rnacentral:piRNA from 1 species
UNGACACAAACUUAGAUCCCCUACUGUGUA